rnacentral:rRNA from 1 species
GGGUCAGUAGGUUGGUCGUGCCACCGGUACGUACUGGUCUCACUGCUUCCUCCUUCCUGAAGAACCGUAAUGCCAUUAAUUUGGUGUUGCGGGGAAACAGGACUGUUACUUUGAAAAAAUUAGAGUGUUUAAAGCAAGCUAACGCUUGAAUACAUUAGCAUGGAAUAAUGAAAUAGGACGCUCGAUCCCAUUUUGUUGGUUUCUAGGAUUGACGUA